UACAGAGGUCCCGAGCGUUGUUCGGAUUCACUGGGCGUAAAGGGUGCGUAGGUGGUGGGGUAAGUCGGAUGUGAAAUCUCGGAGCUCAACUCCGAAAUGGCAUUGGAAACUACCCUGCGUGGAGGUUUGGAGGGGGGACUGGAAUACUUGGUGUAGCAGUGAAAAUGCGUAGAUAUCAAGUGGAACACCAGUGGCGAAGGCGAGUCCCUGGACAAAACCUGACACUGAGGCACGAAGCUAGGGGAGCAAACAGG
rnacentral:rRNA from 1 species